GAUAUACAUAGGUUAAGCAAAACGUUCGUGUUUAGAGUUGUUACUGUUUUGCAAUAUACGGCGUGUUGUCGAAAAAUUUUACAUGUGGAUUAUAUACAACGUAUCCAGGUUUUCUGUCAAGCCGUAAUGCAGUCACUAACGAACUACGUUUUACUGUAGACUUUAGCAUGGUAUUGUAUUGACAUAUUUUGUUUUGACGGAACCUGCCCGACAUAGCGAGAUCAGUGGAGUGUGUAACAGCUCGCGGGGAACACGUGGUCUGUACAGAGGGUAAUGUCGCAUAGCGUCGGGUCAGCCUGUUUAUCAAGCCCUCAGCUCUAGCGCGCAGACCGAUUCAAGGUGACAAGGAGAGCCAUGGAAAAUCAGUCGUCUCUUCUCCUUUUGGCUUCCAUAUUCUGGAUAACUAUAGCAUCCACCUCAGCCCUGUCAUGCUAUGAAUGUAACAUGUACAUGUGUACUCGACCGAACAUGAAUACUGAGCAAUGCAAAUUAGCGAGGCAGUACAGACAAGAGACGAACUUCACAAAGCGGGACGACAUCUUCAACAAGAUGGUGGGGUUGGCGGGUUGCCACGAGAAACAAGCCCAGAACUGCAAAGCUUGUGUUAAGGUUAAAACCAGUGUCCGGCGACAGCAGCCAAAGGGAGAGUACUUAUACGAUACGGUUGUGUCGAAGGUCUGUGCCAAAGAGGAACCCCAUAGCAAGAAAGACUCGUGUUCCAGAAGUGGUCCACCCCACGCCGUCCAACAUGUGUGUCACUGUUUCGACGAUCUAUGUAACUCUGCCCUGCACAUCUCCACUAGCUCUUUCCUCACACUUUUGAGUACAGUUCUGGCUCUCGGGCAGUACAUGCUUUUUACUCAAUAACAGUCUAUGUUAUGAACAUCACAUAUUUUAGGUUAACGGACAUUUCUAUACAGACAUUCAUUGCUCAUUCGCGAUCUAUCGUGAUAGUAAAUAAUUAAUUAUCUGUACUUUUUAUAUUAUUGUCCUUUUCUCGUAUUUUUUUUUGUUUGUUUUUGUGUUUGCAAAGUGAUGUAGGCCUAAAGGUUAGGUUUCGUCUGAGGAUAAAAACCUACCAGUGAACCCACAAGGCAAAAAGAAGUCAAUUUUUCUACAAUUACGUUUAUAAUUCUUGGCGUUGUUCAUAAGUACAUUAAUGCUUCAACGGUCAUAGAAAUAUUCGGUAUGCAUUUAUAAAUUGGUUGUUUUUAAAACUUCAUUAAUCGUUGAUGAGAUCAGAUAAUACGUUCAUAUAUAACUUUGUGUAUACAUUCUACGGUUACCUAUCCUGCUAAACCUUUUAGAUGUACACAUAUUUUGAAGGAAUGAAGAAACUUUUGUUCAGGAAUCUGAUAAGACUCGGCACUUCCCGAUAGCUCUCCGCCAUUCGGUAAUACAUACAAAAUGCCAUUGCACUUGGAUAGAAUGGGAAUUCUCUUUUGUAAAUGAUAUUACCUUCUGUGCAGUUACAGCACUUGCGCUUUAUGAAAAUGGUCGAAGAAAUGUAUGCCUAUAUGUCAACCAUGCUUGACGUCAUUCCACAAGGUUUUGUAUUUUUCUAUGGUGAUGUCUCUGGCGAGGUCCAAACUGCCUCAAUAUAGUAAUAUCUCACCAAUGCGGUCGCUGUGAGUUCAAGUCCAGCUCAUGCUGGCUUCCUCUCCGGCCGUACGUGGGAAGGUCUGCCAGCUACCUGCGGAUGGUCGUGGGUUUCCCCCGGGCUGUGCCCGGCUUCCUCCCUCCAUAAUGCUGGCCACCGUCGUAUAAGUGAAAUAUUCUUGAGUACGGCGUAAAAACACAAAAUCAAAUCAAGUAAGUAAAUCAAUAUAGUAAUAUGCAAGAAUUUCCU